UACGGGGGGGGCAAGCGUUGUUCGGAAUUACUGGGCGUAAAGGGCUCGUAGGCGGCCAACUAAGUCAGACGUGAAAUCCCUCGGCUUAACCGGGGAACUGCGUCUGAUACUGGAUGGCUUGAAUCCGGGAGAGGGAUGCGGAAUUCCAGGUGUAGCGGUGAAAUGCGUAGAUAUCGAGAGGAACACCGGCGGCGAAAGCGGCUACCUGGACGAGGACUGACGCUGAGAUGCGAAAGCGUGGGGAGCAAACAGG
rnacentral:rRNA from 1 species